CUACGGGACGCUGCGGUGAGGAAUAUUGCACAAUGGGGGGAACCCUGAUGCAGCAACGCCGCGUGGAGGAUGACGCAUUUCGGUGUGUAAACUCCUUUUAUAUGUCAAGAAGAUGACGGUAGCAUAUGAAUAAGCACCGGCUAACUCCGUGCCAGCAGCCGCGGUAAUACGGAGGGUGCAAGCGUUACUCGGAAUCACUGGGCGUAAAGGACGCGUAGGCGGGUUGGAAAGUCAGGUGUGAAAUCCUACAGCUUAACUGUAGAACUGCACUUGAAACUUCUAAUCUAGAGUAUGGGAGGGGGAGAUGGAAUUAGUGGUGUAGGGGUAAAAUCCGUAGAUAUCACUAGGAAUACCUAAAGCGAAGGCGAUCUCCUGGAACAUUACUGACGCUAAGGCGUGAAAGCGUGGGGAGCAAACAGGAUUAGAUACCCUCGUAGUC
rnacentral:rRNA from 1 species